rnacentral:rRNA from 1 species
CAAGUCGAGCGGUAACAGAGAUAGCUUGCUAUCUGCUGACGAGCGGCGGACGGGUGAGUAAUGCUUGGGAACAUGCCUUGAGGUAGGGGACAACAGUUGGAAACGACUGCUAAUACCGCAUAAUGUCUACGGACCAAAGGGGGCUUCGGCUCUCGCCUUUAGAUUGGCCCAAGUGGGAUUAGCUAGUUGGUGAGGUAAUGGCUCACCAAGGCGACGAUCCCUAGCUGGUUUGAGAGGAUGAUCAGCCACACUGGGACUGAGACACGGCCCAGACUCCUACGGGAGGCAGCAGUGGGGAAUAUUGCACAAUGGGCGCAAGCCUGAUGCAGCCAUGCCGCGUGUGUGAAGAAGGCCUUCGGGUUGUAAAGCACUUUCAGUCAGGAGGAAAGGUUAGUAGUUAAUACCUGCUAGCUGUGACGUUACUGACAGAAGAAGCACCGGCUAACUCCGUGCCAGCAGCCGCGGUAAUACGGAGGGUGCGAGCGUUAAUCGGAAUUACUGGGCGUAAAGCGUACGCAGGCGGUUUGUUAAGCGAGAUGUGAAAGCCCCGGGCUCAACCUGGGAACUGCAUUUCGAACUGGCAAACUAGAGUGUGAUAGAGGGUGGUAGAAUUUCAGGUGUAGCGGUGAAAUGCGUAGAGAUCUGAAGGA